CUGACGACCGGCGCACGGGUGCGUAACGCGUAUGCAACCUACCUCAUACUGGAGAAUAGCCCUUGGAAACGAGGAUUAAUGCUCCAUAGUAUCACAGAUUCGCAUGUUUCUGUGAUUAAAGAAUUUCGGUAUGAGAUGGGCAUGCGUCCCAUUAGCUUGUUGGUGAGGUAACGGCUCACCAAGGCAACGAUGGGUAGGGGGCCUGAGAGGGUGACCCCCCACACUGGUACUGAGACACGGACCAGACUCCUACGGGAGGCAGCAGUGAGGAAUAUUGGGCAAUGGAGGCAACUCUGACCCAGCCAUGCCGCGUGAAGGAUGACUGCCCUAUGGGUUGUAAACUUCUUUUAUAUGGGAAGAAACUUAUCUACGUGUAGAUAACUGACGGUACCAUACGAAUAAGGAUCGGCUAACUCCGUGCCAGCAGCCGCGGUAAUACGGAGGAUCCAAGCGUUAUCCGGAUUCAUUGGGUUUAAAGGGUCCGUAGGCGGGUCUUUAAGUCAGUGGUGAAAGCCGACAGCUCAACUGUCGAACUGCCAUUGAUACUGGAGACCUUGAGUACAAAUGAAGUAGGCGGAAUGAGUCAUGUAGCGGUGAAAUGCAUAGAUAUGACUCAGAACACCGAUUGCGAAGGCAGCUUACUAACAUGUAACUGACGCUGAGGGACGAAAGCGUGGGGAGCGAACAGGAUUAGAA
rnacentral:rRNA from 1 species